rnacentral:rRNA from 1 species
CCCUUAGAUGUCCUGGGCCGCACGCGCGCUACACUGAGUGUCUGAGAUACGAGUCUGCCUGGUCCGGCAAGGUCUAGGUAAUCGCUAAAAGACACAUCAUGCUUGGGAUAGAUUAUUGCAAAUAUUAAUCUUGAACGAGGAAUUCCCAGUAAGCGCAAGUCAACAGCUUGCGUUGAUUACGUCCCUGCCCUUUGUACACACCGCCCGUCGCUACUACUGAUUGGAUGUUUAAGCGAGGUUCUCGAACUGCUAGCGACUUAGCUUCGGUGAGGUCGCAGUGUGGGAAGUGAACCUAGCUUUGGUGUCUAGAGGAAGUAAAAGUCGUAACA